GAGAGCGGGAGCUGCGGGGGCAGGACCCGAACCCGCCGCAGCCCCGGCUCGCGUUCUGCUCCACACCGAGACUCCCGAGAAUUCCCGGGAAGGCGGCGAGGGCAGGAGAGCAUCCCCAGCUCCCCCUGCCCUCCCCGCAGUGCCCGGAGGAGCAGAACAUCCCCGUUCCCCCUUGCCGGGGAGCCCAGAGCGAUGCUUUAUCGCGCCGCUGCGAGAGCCAGACGGAAAGGUUGCGGCAAAGAGUCACUUCCAUGAAGAAACAUCUCCAUGGAGAAGGGAAAUUCAAGCAUCAUUCGCUGGAGGACUCAAGCACCAUUCUCCAAGGGGAGGAGCACAAAUGCCCUCAAAAGUGGUUAAAUAUAAACCAGUGAUUAAAUAAUAUUAGCAUAUUAGCUAUUCCUUCAUGUGGGGACUCCACAUCCCCAAGUGAUGCUCUCCUCCUAAAACUGUCAAAUCCCUCAUAGUCUCUGCCUGAUUCUGUGGGGAUGCUGCUAUUUACACAGGAGCAGAGUAACCUCCAUCCCUGUGGGAUGUGCUCCAAUAGCUGCACACUGUCCAGCAGGAUGGAAAAAUGUGUUUCAGUCUCUUUCUGCAGCAAACCCACAAUUGAGCUCCACUCAGUAAUAUUUUAGCAAGCCACCUUCAGCCUGGAAUCCAGAUAGCCACAGGCCAGUUUGGGCCAGUUCCAGGCUCAUGGGGGACCUGGACACUGGGGCAGUGUCUGAGCCAGCCCCAAACAUCCACCCAGCAAUCCUGGAAUUCUCUCUCAGCUCUGACACUGACCCAAAGUGCUGGUCACCAGCUGAGACCCAGUGCACCUGUUACUGAAUAAAAUUUGCAUACUUUGGGAUCA
rnacentral:lncRNA from 1 species